AUCAGUUGGUCAUCCUGUUGAGUGUGGUUUCUGAUUCAGUAGGUCUGUGGGGCCUGAGAGUCUGCAUUUCUAACAAGUUCUCUGGGGAUGC
rnacentral:pre_miRNA from 1 species